CUCCCGCCCCUGGCCGCGACAGCACCCACAACUCCGAUCACUGCUCCUUCUUUUUCUGCGCUUUCCUUUCUCCCCCACAAGCUUCUGAUUCUUGGAACCAGGCUCGGUGACCUCACGCGAGUGACUUCAUAUCCGGGACUUUCUGGGAAUUCUCAGCAGCACUUUUUCUAAAAUGAGUUAAACAUUUUCAUGAGCUUCUAAAAGGAUUGUGGACCCUAGGCAGUGUUGCCCCCUGUGCCGGAUGGGUGAGUUGGCCCUGGGUAAAAUCAGAGCGAUGUGACACAGCCUGGAAAGAACAUGAAAGGACCUAGAGGAUAGAAUUCUCCCCUCCUGGAGGAGGCCAUAAACACAGGAACAGCUGCACAGGAAGGGCCUUGAAUGACCUAAGAAGUGUGGAUUUUAAGGCGACAGAGGUGGUGAGAAACUGCUGCAAGGCUGGAUUGGAGGACUGAUGGUUUGGGGGUGGCACUGGUGGUGGGGAGAGAAAUGAGGAGGCUGUUGCUAUGGUAGUCACAUGUUGGAGCUCACAAAUCAAUGUGGAAAUGAAGCAGGGGGCAAGGGGAAGACAUACUUGGGAAGCCGAAGCCCACUGAUAUGAGGCAGUAAUGCAGAGAGAAGCCUGGGCUAUCUUCUCUGGCUUGGGUGAAUGGCAGAUGCUGCUACCCCUCUUGGAAAAUAGGAAGACGGGAGGAGAACGUGUAUGUGCACCAGGACUUUGGGAAGAUCAAAUGGAAGGUCUUUCACAAAUAACAAAGCAAGGAGACUUCGAGUAACUUCACAGGCUUGUGGGCAGCUUCAGGGCCACCUCUUGCCCAGACCCUGCAAGUUGGGACACUUUCCUGCUCACUAUGGCCUGGAGGACAAAACCACCUCACUUGGACAUUUCCAGAAUAAAGAAUGGGGAAAAGCAGACUAGGUUUUCAAUACCCUUUCAGUAGAAAACUGCCCCAUAAACUCAUUGGCUACCUACUUCUUAAUCCCCAAUAACUGUUUUUAUGUGCGCAUCCCCACCCCCAUAAUAGGCUUGACUCCCACCCUCCAAUACAAACACUGGGCUUUCUCCAGAGCAGAUCAGGCCAAAAGCAAGGGCUGGGACAGGAAAUACACUUACAGGGAGAAGAGCUGGGUCUGAAUGACUCCUUGAAAGAUAAUCCUUCAUGUAUUCACUCUAAAACACGAAUCUAGCACUUACUAUGUGUUCUGGUACCAUUCUAGCACUGGGGAUGCAAUAAAAAUCAAAUAAGACGUGGU
ensembl:lncRNA novel transcript